UACGGGGGGGGCAAGCGUUGUUCGGAAUUACUGGGCGUAAAGGGCUCGUAGGCGGCCAACUAAGUCAGACGUGAAAUCCCUCGGCUUAACCGGGGAACUGCGUCUGAUACUGGAUGGCUUGAGUGUGGGAGAGGGAUGCGGAAUUCCAGGUGUAGCGGUGAAAUGCGUAGAUAUCUGGAGGAACACCGGUGGCGAAGGCGACAUCCUGGACCACGACUGACGCUGAGGCGCGACAGCGUGGGGAGCAAACAGG
rnacentral:rRNA from 1 species